ACUUGUCACACAGCGGUGGAACCGAGGCUUUGUGUCCUUCUUGGCUUGGGGUACUGGUACAGACCGGCUCUGACCUGCCCUCACGCCGCUGCAGCAUCUAGCCUGUGGUGAACUUGGCCCACAGCCAGGCGAGGCACAGGAGGGAGAAAGGUCUACGCAAAUAGCUGGCUAAAGCACAAAACACAGGUGUAAAACUCAUGUCUGACCAGAAUAUGGUUUUAUACCCUGCUUUUAUUGCGAGGAACUCAUUUCAGAGCAGCAUUCUGUCAUUAUGACUGCCUGUUUGCUGAUUGUGGUGUACAGACUAUGGUGAAUUUUCAGUGGACUUUCCAGAUUACUCCUGCAGGCCGCGACCAGGAUUUCUGCAAGAAAUGCCACACGUGAAAGCAGAUGAAAGGGUGCAGCAUGUGCGCUAAGGUACUUUCAUGGCUUCUGUAUCCUGAACAUCUCAGUGAAAUCUAUUUGAAUAUAAGAACAUCCUGAGUAAAUCAUCAAAUCCAGCAUCCUCUCACUAACAGUAGCUGGCAAUUUGGUCUUGGAACAUUCUCUGGGCUGCCAAGCAAUAAGCUUCUCCUUAUUCAGAUUUUCAGGGAAAAAUGUAGCACAUCCAUUUACACUGUCACCCUGACAUAAGUUUGAGCCCACUCUCAAGAUGAGAGUUAUCAGGCACUAUCAAAUCAAGCAACAGCGAUGAAGGAUCAAGCAUCAGCCAUCAAGUCUGCACCAUCCCAGCCUCAGAGCUGAAAGCUGGAGUAAACUGUUUAGCACAGUUUUAUUCAUAUGUUGUGAGUGGAUAUGAACAGGGUACUGAAUUUAACUCUUGUUUCAGCAGUAGUUGUCCAGAACUUGACUGUUCUGAAGCAUUAUGUGAGUACUUUGAUCUCAAUGCAUAGCCGGCAAUGCAAAUGGAAAUGCAGAGGGGCACAUGGCCUAGCAAGCUUAAGUCAA